rnacentral:rRNA from 1 species
UUCCGGUUGAUCCUGCCGGACCUGACUGCUAUCGGAUUGAUACUAAGCCAUGCGAGUCAUUGUAGCAAUACAAGGCAGACGGCUCAGUAACGCGUAGUCAACCUACCCUAUGGACGGGAAUAACCUCGGGAAACUGAGUAUAAUGCCCGAUAGAACAUUAUACCUGGAAUGGUUUAUGUUCCAAAUGAUUUAUCGCCGUAGGAUGGGACUGCGGCCUAUCAGUUUGUUGGUGAGGUAAUGGCCCACCAAGACUAUUACAGGUACGGGCUCUGAGAGGAGUGGCCCGGAGAUGGGUACUGAGACACGGACCCAGGCCCUAUGGGGCGCAGCAGGCGAGAAAACUUUGCAAUGUGCGAAAGCACGACAAGGUUAAUCCGAGUGGUUUCUGCUAAAGGAACCUUUUGUUAGUCCUAGAAACACUAACGAAUAAGGGGUGGGCAAGUUCUGGUGUCAGCCGCCGCGGUAAAACCAGCACCUCAAGUGGUCAGGAUGAUUAUUGGGCCUAAAGCAUCCGUAGCCGGCUCUGUAAGUUUUCGGUUAAAUCUGUACGCUUAACGUACAGGCUGCCGGGAAUACUGCAGAGCUAGGGAGUGGGAGAGGUAGACGGUACUCGGGAGGAAGUGGUAAAAUGCUUUGAUCUCUCGAUGACCACCUGUGGCGAAGGCGGUCUACCAGAACACGUCCGACGGUGAGGGAUGAAAGCUGGGGGAGCAAACCGGAUUAGAUACCCGGGUAGUCCCAGCUGUAAACUAUGCAAACUCAGUGAUGCAUUGGCUUGUGGCCAAUGCAGUGUUGCAGGG